rnacentral:lncRNA from 1 species
GGGCGGUGCUGGCUCUGGUCCCUGGAGUUUGCAUUUGCCACGUACUGAGUUAGAAAGGCAGCAGAAAAAAAUGGAAGUCGGAGCCGUAUUGAAAAUGUCAGCGCGCGUCCAUGGUGGCACGUGGGUGUGAGAGCCAAUCCAGACGCUGCGCGGGCCGUUUGAAGUCCCCCGGGGGCCGCGCUUCGGGAGUCUGUCCGAACCGGUAGUUGUGCGCAGCGCGGCGUGCGGGAGGGAGGAACUGCCGCUUUACACCCUCGCUUCUCUGGGUGAAAUUCCUCUCAUGGGAAGGACUGGGCUCAGGUUCCUACCUUUCCGGGAGUGGGAGAAAAAGACUGACAGGUCAUUAAGAAGGUCUAUGAAUUUAGAAAACUCAAGAUUUGGGCUCAAUUACAUCAGCAACCUUCCUCCUCCAGCUCUUGUAAACUUUCCAUCUACUGAGAUUUUCAAAAUCUUUGUGACAGCCCGCUGACCCAAACGGGUGUGAGGAGGUACGCAGGUGUGUGUAUUUCGUAUACCUUUUAUGUAGUCAUGUAUAUGUGUGUACAUCCCUCCCUCAAUUCUGUUAGAAAAGAAAUUAUACUUUUUAAAUUUAUGUAUCUCUUCUCC